AUGGGGGAGGUGUCACUAAUACUAUAUAAAGCAUUAUUGGGAGUCUCAUCUCAUCAUAUUUUCUCUCAUCACCUGUACAGCAGCUCUCCUUCCAGUCACCCAGCAGGUAAGAUCACCAACUUUAACUCACCAUUAGAUGGUUUAUACUGUAGACCUUUAAAUAUUACAAGUAAAAAUGUUGCAGAUUCAGUUGCAGUUUGUCCUUUUUCAUUUUGUAUUAGAACAGCGAUGGCAGCAGCAGCUUGGUCCAGGAGCAGAGGAGUGGCUGGUGUCAGAGCCACCACAGGCCUGUUCUCCAUCUUCACUCUGCUGUGUCUGGUUUGCCUCUCAAGUUCACUGAUUCACAAAGACCAGCUGAAAGAGGUCAAGGAAAAAUUUCAGAAAACACAAAAACUACUGGAGGAGUUGAAGGCAAUCUACCAGCCAGAAAUGGGCAACGUUAAAGAUCUCAUGGGGCUAUCUGUGAGUCUUAUGGAGUCCAUGGAAACAUUACUGAAGGCAGAUGAAGAAGACUUUCCUGAUGACCCUCUACAUGUGCUGGGAUUUGUGCAGAACGUCAAGGACUUCAUAAAGAGCACCAAGAAUAAAGUAGAUAAAAAGGAUGAGGAGAUGAGAGCAGAAAUAGAGAAAACUGAAAAGAAACUGGAAAGAAUUAGGAAAUUAAUCACAUUCCUUGAGGAGCAACAAUUUGAACUGUAAAUCCCAUGUCAGCCAGUGCUUCUACCUCUGAUACUGCAGCUUUUGCAACUUAUCCUUCGGCUUCAUUUGAGUAUUUUCUCUGAACUGGAUUUGAAAUCAUGUUUGACAUAAAGUAGGAGGUUAGAGAGAGACGCACUAUUGACAGGGAUGUGAGAGGUGUUGUACUACUUUUAUUGAACACAUUUACAAAUGUACUGAUGUGCAGCCAUUACAGUUAUGGUACUGGCAACAAUGCUAAUGCAGGAAUACAUAAAAUAAACACAUUUUACUCCUUUUAUUUCUAGUGCAAUAUAUUGCGGUGGAUUACUAAAGAUAAUCAUGUUUCUGUUUGCUUCUGCUGGUUUUUUCAUGGUUUUCUUGGAAUAACAGAAUCUACAAUACAAACUAUAAUCUUCGACAUUUCUUACUUUACUGAUUUUACUUUAUUGAAAUCAGAGCUAUUGAAAACAUAUGCUGUAAAACUAUGUUGCAUGAAAUUCAGCAUGUGUGGAAAACCCAAAUAAAUGUCCUACAUGGGAACUGUUGCUGUCUGUCGUUUCUUUCU
rnacentral:lncRNA from 1 species